UCGAACGGAUCCUUCGGGAUUAGUGGCGGACGGGUGAGUAACACGUGGGAACGUGCCCUUUGGUUCGGAACAACUCAGGGAAACUUGAGCUAAUACCGGAUGUGCCCUUCGGGGGAAAGAUUUAUCGCCAUUGGAGCGGCCCGCGUCUGAUUAGCUAGUUGGUGGGGUAAAGGCCCACCAAGGCGACGAUCAGUAGCUGGUCUGAGAGGAUGAGCAGCCACAUUGGGACUGAGACACGGCCCAA
rnacentral:rRNA from 1 species